rnacentral:rRNA from 1 species
UACGUAGGGUGCAAGCGUUAAUCGGAAUUACUGGGCGUAAAGCGUGCGCAGGCGGUUUUGUAAGUCUGUUGUGAAAUCCCCGGGCUCAACCUGGGAAUUGCGAUGGAGACUGCAAGGCUAGAAUCUGGCAGAGGGGGGUAGAAUUCCACGUGUAGCAGUGAAAUGCGUAGAGAUGUGGAGGAACACCGAUGGCGAAGGCAGCCCCCUGGGUCAAGAUUGACGCUCAUGCACGAAAGCGUGGGGAGCAAACAGG